rnacentral:rRNA from 1 species
GUUCCUACGGGGGGCAGCAGUGGGGAAUAUUGCACAAUGGGGGAAACCCUGAUGCAGCGACGCCGCGUGAGUGAAGAAGUAUUUCGGUACGUAAAGCUCUAUCAGCAGGGAAGAAAAAAAGUCCUUUGGACUUUGGACGGUACCUGACUAAGAAGCCCCGGCUAACUACGUGCCAGCAGCCGCGGUAAUACGGAGGAUGCGAGCGUUAUCCGGAUUUAUUGGGUUUAAAGGGUGCGUAGGCGGUCCGUUAAGUCAGCGGUAAAAUUGCGGGGCUCAACCCCGUCGAGCCGUUGAAACUGGCAGAC